UUGCCAUAGAUAGUAGUGGGUGCGAGCG
rnacentral:piRNA from 1 species